AAAAGCCCUAAGAAACCUAUCUCAACUAGCACAACUAGAGCCCCUUACAAGUCGAGAGUCAUUUUCAUUCCAGAGCUCAAUUCCAAUCUGGGAAACAGAAUCUGGCCAUGGUAUAAUGGAAGAACCAGAACUCACUUUAGUAAGCACCAGUGACAUCAGUAUUGCUGAAGCAGAUUUUGCAAACUUAACCCUAGAAGAGAAGAGAGAGAACGAGACAAAAAACUUUGUUCAGGUAAAUUUAUUAGCAUUUGAACAUUAGAGAGCAGAAACUGACAGUUUAUAGGAAAACCCCUCUAUAUAUGUAGGAUUCAUAUAGUUCGACCAUCUACCUUUUUCAUAACACACCUGGAAGAAAGUAUUUGUCGAAUAUUGCUAUCAGCAAUAGCAAGAAAAGGAUGAGAAAGCGGAUGAUCUGCAGGCACAGAACCAACAAGCCAGGUGUGGGGUAAUUCACGGCCUACCUGGCCUGUAACUACGAACUACAAACUCAUCUGUGACUUUUGCAACUAGGUGGGUGAAUUUCUGCCUCUUCUAUCAGAAACCCCAGAUGAUCCAGCUGUAUCAGAGAACAAGCCUACAGCCAUAUCAGGGAACUUAC